ensembl:lncRNA
GAUGUAAUACUCAGCACUAUAUUUAUGGCUUAAAUAAACUACCAGCAAAAUUACAAUUAAGUUUUGACAGAAGCAUUUGCAUAGAAUAGUAAAUAAAAAAAUCACUUACUAAACCUUAGCUUUUUAAAUGAUGACAAAAUGACAAUUAAGAAUGACCUAAUAUGAAUAUUUUAUUAGGCUUAAUAAAAUGUAAAGUCAAGACUAAUUCCAAAAACUAAUUCCAAGGACUAACUUAUUUUUUGACCACUUUGCUUGAUUGUCAGGGGGAAAAAACCCUACAACUGUUUUACAGUCCAUUGCUGAAAAUAAAUUGGAGCUAACUGCUUCUUUUCAGGAAAGCCACAGUGCCAGAUUAGCACACAAAACAUAUUUUUAAGGUAUUUUAAUUUUUUUUUUCCUGAGGAAUAGUAAAAUAACUUGGAUUAAUAUAAUUACUAUGCAAGAGGCAGCACUUUGAGCUACACAUACAGGGAAAAAGAGCACUUUUUUUCCAGUUGUCAUUGCCAGCAGCCCUACCCAAUCCAGCUUUGAAGUCUAAUUUGGAAAUUUUUCCCAGGGUACCAGCCUGUGGUUUCCUUUUUUCUGGAGCAUCCCAUGGCCCCAUAGCUCUAUGGAAACAAUGAUACAUUUGUGCUCCCCAGUGAUCACCACUGUUGCAGAAUGGAUGUGAGCAGGGGAAUGACACUUCAGUUGAGCGUAGGAGAGAGGAGGGAGCCCACAUUGCUGAAGUCCAGGCUGGAGUCUGGUCCCUAAGGACUGAACAGGGUGUUGGUGGGUCAGAGGACAGAGCAUGAACCCAGCACAGGUCAAAUAUCCACUUCUGCUUGUAGAUCACAUGUGUUUUGGAGGCAGAGUGACCACUGAAAAACAGAGGUUGCUAUUAAAUGUAUUGCUGUCUUUUGUUUCAACUUCUGAGUCAGGCUAAUUACAGCUGCUCUUACCCAAGACUGACCUCUUCCACUCUUUCUGGCUGCCCCAAAUUAAUAAAGACUAUCUUGGAGUUUCCCUCUUUGAAAACUGAGGAGUUCCAUCAUGCAAGCAAAUUCAUAUUUGAGACAAGACAUGCAAGGAAGAUGGAGAGUCUUCUUACUGAUCAGGGACAUGCAGGAAUGGGUCACGAUGGGAAAGAUGUCACACUGUUCUGCUGGCAUCUCACUUACAGCUUUCAGGGAAUGCUCAUACCAGCGACAAUGUCCGGCCAGCCAAGUCUGGGAACUGAGUUCCAGUUUGAGAGGAUUAGCAAGCACUAAUGGUCCUUACCUAAAAAACACCAGAGACCAGCAGUCAGGUCUUUGGCAGUUACCUCCCUGUGUCUGGGCAGCUGUUAUUCCUGAGGGAGAAAAUGCAUGUCUUUCUUCCAAAUCAUCAUGUGUUCCAUGAGUGAGAAAUUAUGAUGAAGUUCCACAUUGAAAACUGACUGCAAAUGCAGCACCUUUGCACAUAACCUGCUUAGUCUGUGAAUUGUCACUUUUGCUGAUUUCAGGUGACUGAAAUAGAUUUUUACUACCUUCUACUUUCUAGUUGCAUAAAACUGACAUCAUUGAGAGCAAGAGAAAGAGAAUAACGUUUUCUGUAUUUCAUCAGCUGUCACAUUUCCUUUACCAGGGACAGUGCAGAAUGAUGCAGAAGACAUGGCUUCAUGUAUGGAUCCCAAUCAGUUAUGAAAAACAAUAAACACAGACCCCUAUACCACACUUUCUCCUGGGUUAUUUUUCAGAGCAGAGCCACUCUACUGCUUUAUAAAACUACUUCCUGAAGACUGCAUUUCUGCAGCAGCACAGCUAUUUUUAGCAACCAGACAACCUUUUUUUUGUAGGUUGGAACCACCAACCUACAGAAAGAGCUGUGAAGUACAUCAAUACCAGCUUAUCUGACAUCCUCAACUUUGACUCUGUAGCUGUGCUACCAAAGGGUCUUUUAGUCUAUCUGAUCUCUCAGAGAAAAUCCCAAACAAUUAAUUUCUAGUGGAAUGGUUCCUCCAACACCAUUCAGCAGCCUUGGCACAGAGCUACCAUAGAAGAACUACUUGAUGAAUACAAAACAUCUCAGCAGACAGGCUUUCAGUAAGAGAUGAAGGAAUGAAGUCUGGGGGAAGGAAGGUCUGACAAUGUCUUUGUCAUCACACAGCCAUGUCAUGUCACCAACUUGGCCCAAGUAGAGCUCCAGGCUCUGUGUAUAUGCCCUGGCAGCAGAAAUGGGACUGGUUCUGUUUGCUUCUUUUUAGUGCAGGGUUAUUUGUAUGCAUUGACAGAUCUUCAGGUAUAACAAGGCAAUGAGCAAGCAGAGAACAGAUGAUGAUUUUGUGCUGUGCAAGGAAAUAUGGUGAACAAAGACCAGUGAGCAUAUAAAUCUCCACCUGGUCAAUUAUGAAGUUAACACCUUUAUCUAUCAUUGUUACCCAGAGGAGGGAAACGUCCAGAUCUCUGGCAGUUUUGCUGCAGCACCAGCUACAAGACAUGCCAAUGCCUCUAAUUGCUGAAAACCUUGUUGUGGUGAUGAAGUCAAUGCUUUAUCUUCACUCUCAGUAACAGCCAGAAUACUGAUUUAAAGCCAGUGUCUUUCCUCAUGGAGACACAUGGUCCUGCAGUAACUGGCUUAAUCAGGACUCUGAUAUAUGUGGUCAUGGAUCAAGUCCUUUCUAACUCUUUACACACCCAAUACUCAAAAUACAGAUGCCCAUCAUUUGAAAGCUUAAAAACAUUUUUGCCAGAUUCGUCACCUGGGGCAAAUUAUUUCCAAGUCCCUAAGCUAGGAGCCAGAACAGCUGUUGUUGGCACCAGUGUCAGUAUAAUACAAGUCAGUAUUUCAAGCCAUGGCCACUGCUCUCAGCCUUGUGCCAAACUCUGCAGCAGCUGUGUCUGAGGGAAGUGAUGCCAGUCCAUCCAUGCCCUCCCCAGCAUACUCGGAGAGGUAGUGAGGGAGAAAGAGAAAUAAAUACUUUCCUCUCACUUCUUGUCUUUCCUUCACAAUGGGGUGAGGCCUCCUCAAGGCACCUGGACAAGCUACUCCUCUGCUCAGGAGCUUCUAGGGAAGCUUCAAAAACUUCAUGACCAGGGAGAGGGAUCUUGCUACACAUUUUGGGAUAGGAAGAUAUACAAGCUUCCAAAGCCAAUGGCUGUCCACUGUGGUGUUAGGUGGAACAGAUGGCAGCUCCACAGUGCAGCCUGGCCUUGCCACCAGCAGGGCAAUGUAUCUCCUGCACAUAUCCCAGGUCGAAGCACCCUGGACAUUACCUCCCAAGAGCACUUCCCAAACACAACCAGUAACUAGCAAAGUUUCUGUGGAAGCAAACUCCUGGUUUGGAUAUUGUGGGAUGGACUGCAAAGCCAUGACCAGCAAAGCUGGCACCUACUUUUCAGGAUUUGAAUAAGAACUGUCUCCAUACUGUUUCUUCUGCUCAACACUUUGUGGCUUGAAUUUUUAUUGGGUAGAUUGAGUCUUUUACCAAAUACUCUAUGAUGUUUGUGAACUAAUUUGGGAAAAUGAAGGCCAUAUUCCAAGGACAGUUUUUAGUUCAUUUUCGUUUCAUCCAGGUGCAGAGACAGGAGGGAUAGGUAAGGUGCAGAUCUUAAAGAAAGGGGUAAUAGGUAGUGCUGAAGCAACAGUGGAGAAAUUACAAGUAAUGAUGUCACAAAUUAAUAGUUUAGAGUUACUCAAGGAAUCACCAUCAAAGAUAUUGGCAAAUAUAGAUUUAAUACGUCUUUAUAAAAAUGUGCAUUAACAGAUUCAGUGGUGAGGUUCACUCUAUUACCUACUACAUGGACAAAACAUACAAAGGCAAAUUAAGUUAGAAUCUAUUUAGAAUGACAGAGACCAAAGAUCCAACAGAGUAUGGGAGCUCCUCCCCUUGAGUUGUGAGGCUCAGAGCCCCCUUGCUUUCUAAACUCAUGAUGAAGCCUAGCUGCACCUAGGGCCAAUCUUAGUCUCAGACUUGUACAAUUGUUUGUAACAAAGAAAUCAAUUUGUUUGUAAAGGAAUCAAUUACAUUAUUGCAUUAGUAUUAAUUUAGCAUGCUGUCAGCUAUUUACAGAGGAUUUGUUGCAAAGAAGGUAUCUCUCUGCCUUGGGUAAGGAAGGAUGUCUUGAUCUCAGGUAAAGAAUCUCAAACUUCGAGAGGCAUCCCAACUCCAGUGGAGAUCACACUUCUGCAGCCACACUGCCUAGCAGGAAGAGCUCAAUUAGGGUGUCAUAUUUAUGGGAUAAAGCAGUUAGCCCACAGUUCAAGUGCAUACAGUGAGAAAGGUAAGCAUGAGACUCUUUGUACCCACACAUACGUGUCUUGGCAAAACCACUAGCUCUCCUUGCAUUAACAGCAUGCUUGGUGUUCCAAGUCCACAUGCGUCGAUGCUCCCUGGGUCAUCUGCCCCUUUGUGGUUUCCCUGGGGAGAUUCUGCCUUGCACAUGGCCCAGGUCUUUACCUUCUUUGGAGUUUUUACCAGACUACUGCUAGUUUGGUUGGGGAGGUUGAGUGCAUCCACCACAAGUGAAUACUCUGAGUCUGUCAAUUUGUCACAUCUGUCUAGUUUGUCAAUUUGUGCAAAUCAACAUCAGUGAAGCCGAGUAAGCUUCAUCCACUGAGGAGCUGACCCGUUACUGCAGACAUUUCCUGGUUCUCAGCUGCCAUGGGGACGAAACCGCAGGCUGGUUCUAUACCCAUCUGAGUGAUUGCAUUCAAAUAUUUCCAAAUACCUUUAAUGUUCCCUUCUUGCUUGUCAGGGUUACAUAUCCUUGGAUAGGAUUUCUAUAACAUGUUUUUAGCAUCCUUUUACAUACCAUUAAAAUUGCUUGUAAUGUUACAGAGGGCUCUAAUUUUGCAUCGUUUAAACCAGUCCUAACAGCAGAGCUGUAAUAUCCUGUGCAUCUUGCCUCAAGGCACAAUGUAAAUGAAAGUAGAGCUAAGAAUAGAGCCUUGUGUCUCAGCUGAGGAGAGCAGCAUGUGCCUGCCUACAUAAGGAGAAGUAGUUUAUGUUUCUAAUAACACGCAACUUUUUUCUUUUUCUUCUUUUUAGGAAAAAAAAAAGUGAAUAGUAUCAAUGAAUUUGAGCUGAUCUAUUCUCCUUGCCUCAUUCCUAAGCAGAUGAACUAUAUAUAUAAGAAAAGCAGACAAUUUCCAAAGGAGAAUCUUGUCCUGUUUAAGAUAUAGUGAAUUCAGUCUUCAGACACCAUGAAGUCUGAGAGAUUUUAAGCUCUGUAAAGUCAGUCAAAUAAUUAUCUCACAAAAUGCAUUUGUGUAGGUGAAAUCCCUCUGGUUUAGUUAUUUUCCUGCUAUGAAAUGGAAAGCUGCUAGCCCCUUGGAAAAAAAAAAGCACAGGGAAACCAGAGAACAUCAAGUUUGUGUAAACACUUCUUUCCACUUGUACUCUUCAACUAAGUCUUGGUGAUGAAACACCUUAGAAAUAAGAUUUCUCUCUGACACAGACUUCUCUCCCAGUUGCAUGUACAGGCAACCAGAGUGAAACAUUAAAAUAAGGAAAAUUAAACAUGUUGCCAAACAGUUGAGUGUUAAACACAUCAUUAACUGAAAAUCUUACACUGAGUUGAAAUGCAGAAAAUUCAGAAGAACACCCUAAUCAAACACUUUUUUUCAUUAAGUUCAUUAAAAAUAGAGUAUUACCUGAAUUGCAAAGUGACUGUGACAUUAACUUGAUUUGGUUUUUUUCAGAAUAUUUUACAUUUAGGAGAUAAAAUCUGGCUGCAUGGCCCCGUGGAUAUGGAACUGGAUUAAGAAUUAAUCUGUUAAUUGGCUGGGCAAUUGGGCAAAGUACAUAAUCCCUCUGCAUGAUUUAUAUUUCUUCAUCCUUAAUACAGAGUUUUCAUGCACUUCAGCUUUCCUGAACUGUUUUGAUUUACACAGAUAAAAGGCUUAUAUUAAUUACUAUAGAUGAUACUGAAAUGCCAUAAAAGCAUUGCUUAAUGAAAUAUUGAUUUAAAAAAUAUCAAGUAGGACUAAGUCCUUGCCUUAGAUGUUGAGGAAAUGCCUGUGAAAUGGGAGUCUCAGAUCAGUCUCCUCAGAGAUAAUUCACAGCUCUGAACAGAGGACCAGACAGGAGACUCAGAAGGACUGAGUUGUUCAGUGGAAAAGCUAAGCCCUGGGUCUCCUAAAUAAUCAUCUGGGAUUGCCAUUGGCAGUCCAACCACAGGCACCUAAGAUGCCACCACUGCUCACAGCAAGAUCCCUGGUGACACCAGUGUCUUCAGGCUGCUAUUUUUCUUAAGUGGAAAUGAAACCAAGAGGAGUUGAGGGUAUAAUUUCAAGUCUUGCAAAAAGCUUCAAAUUGUAUGUUCUGUCUCUUUCAGUGGAGAGCAGCCAGGACCUGGAGGGGGGAGGGGGGGGGAGCAUUUAAACGUUAGUAACUAAUGAAGCUGUGUGGAACAGAGAGAUCAGAGACAGGAGGAGGCAGUGGUUUCUGAUAACUACAUUAAGGAAUCAACAGAGAGUUGAUUAUGCCUAUAUGUGCAGAGACAUUUACACUAACCCACAAACACCUACAGUUUAAUGCAUCAUGGGUAUCUUAGGUGACAAUGGCAUGCUGAAACAUUUCAAUAAUGCAGUCAGAAAGUUUAACCAUAAAGGCAAUGUGACAACAGCCUUAUAAUUAAUAUUUUAUCAUUAAAAGUGCUUGAAAAGAGGUUUAAAUGCAAUUUGAAGCAUCUGAGAGGUGGAAAAUCAUGUGAGCAGUAUGCAAUGGGUUAAACUGAAUAAUUUCACCUUUUAUCCUCACAGUGACGAACUGUGACACCUUUAUUUUUAUUUUCCAAUACUACUAUUAUAGUCCUUCUCUGAAUUCUGCCCUUCUUUUCCUCUUAUGAUUCUGCAUUUUUGUCCUUCUUUUUUUAUGCUAUUUCAUGUACUGGAUGGCACUGAGAUAAAACUGACCACAACCAUGUUUCCUGAAAGUACAGUGAAUGCUGCCUAAAAGUUUAUCAAUCUAAUAUGCUUUUCUUCCCUGCCAGAAAAUCACUGGAAAAAGCAGCAAGGAAUGAGCAUGGCUAGCUCAAAUCUGAAGCCCUGAGGCUGCAUCUGCUGGUGCAUCGCAGGUCACAGAGCCAGCGAUACUGGCAGUGCUGUUCAUUCACCAGAAAAGAGAAGAGACACGUGUAAAAGCAUGCUCUCACCUCUGUCUGCUUCCCAGCCUAGAUCUGUGGUUUCUGAAAUGAAAUUUGGCUGUUGGGGAGGCCAAUGGAACAGCACAGCACAGCAUGGCCGUUAGCAUUUGCAACCCCAUGGGGCUGCAGAUGAGGCCCUGGAAACCACCCAGGGCUUUGGGCUGCAGAAAGACAGGUGAAGCUCUGAGAAAUCCCUUCCUAGACUUCAGUGCAGCCAGGUAUUUUAUUGCAGGUAUAAUUUUAAUUGCAUCCAUAAUCCCACUGAAGUCUGUCGGGCUAUUCACAUCUCUCCAAUUAGGCACUUUCUGUAGGUACUUUGCUGAAUCUGUCCCUGGAAGUUUAUAGAUUUUUUUUUUAACCAUAUGUAGACCUCUUACCCCACACAACAGUUGGACAAGUUUAAUUAACAACCCAAGUGCCACUUAAGUGACCCAGAAGCACAGUUUAAAGCACAGAUGGAAGCCAAGACAGAUCAAGUGAAGAAAGAUAAAAACUCCAAGAGUAAAACUCUAACCUUGUAUCCAAGUGCCUAUGCCACAUGUAUCCCACCCAGCUUCUUAGAGACCCUUGCAGGAUUGAGGUGACAUUUAUCAGGAGCCUAACGUGCUGAGGUUGGGCACAUAAUAGCAGAGAGCACAGACUGAGAUAUGAACAAAAAAAGGAGAAAACAUUAAACAUGAAGUGAAUGUCUGGUCAGCCUGGAAAGCCCACCCACAAUGUGUUUGAGGGAAGCCUGUGGAAGGCAGGAGCUUGUGGCCACCUGCACAGAGCACAUAAGCUUCCAGCCUUUUGCAGCUCUGUGCAUGGAAUGUUAAGAGGAGCCAUUCAAUAAAACCAAUAAUAAAACCCUUGCUGCAUUUACUGGCUUAUGGAGUGGGGAGUGGGGAAAUCUCUCAUUCAUCUCAUCUGCAGCAAGGCAUUUCUGGGAUUUUGUUGGUGUCAGUAAAAGAGCUGCAGGUACAGAGACUCAAGGCACACUGAUUCAAGCGUUCUCUCAGGAUCAUCUGUGCCAUGUGCAAGAGCCACUGAUAAAAAGAAAUCAAACCCAACAGAGACCAGCUUAGGGUUCAGUUUUGCCUCUUCUGCUGGUAUCCAGAGUACAGUCCUGCAUCUCUGUGACUGCACUAUGCCAGCUAUUUCUUUGAGUGGUGGGAUCACUGGCCUGUGAUCCCACAACUGUCACAACAAAGACAAUACAGAAGCAUAAAUAAAAAAUAUCUCCACAGAAAUAAUUUAAAGGGAUGAUCUAGAAAUAGACUGAGUUCUCAUCCAGGGCUUCAGUUUUGAUAGUGAUGGUGGCUUUGAUGUGCCUUCUUCAGACUCCAUGCUAAAUUCAUACAUCCAUCUCAUUUUAAAGAGUGGGAGAAUUAAUCCUGAUUUUAGCUCUGUCACUUCAAGGAAUGAAGAAGGAAACAGCCCACUAAAAUAGACCUGAACUUAACUCAUGAGGUGAAAGUCUAAUUCUUUACGAGUAUCCAUUUAGUAUCUGGUGAAAGUACAGAAUACUCUAGAUUCUAUCCAUCUGAUUUUAUUGUUCUCUGAACAAUGGAGACAAAUCUGAAGCUGGAUCUAUUAAACUCUUCACAUAAAAAACAAAAGCUGGGAAUCAGAAAAAAAAAAAAAAAAAAAAAAAAA